CCCGCGCGCGCCCCGACUCCCUAGCGCGCGCCGCCGCCCUGUUGCUUCCGCCUCCCUGCGGGGCGGGAGGGCGCUGUCAUCGCCCCCGCGUGGCUUGUCCGGUGCCGGUUCUCCCCGCAGCUGAUUCCUCCCCGUUCACUCCUGUUCUAAAAAGGAAGCCUGGCUGUGGGCCUAGGAGGCGAUGGCGGGUGCGGUGGGCCUGGGUCCCUGGGCCUGUGGGUCACACCUCCUGCCUGGGGGUGGACAGAAGACACAGGAUCCUCAGGUGGCUACAGGAUGACUGUAGAACCAGAGACUAGGGAUCUGCAGUGGCCGAUCAGGAGUACCAGACCCGGGGAUUAGGGAUGUAUUUGAGACCAUUGUGACAGGGAUUGGAGAAGAUCUGGCAUUGCUACGGUUUGGAUUAGACACGGAUGACACCAGCGCCAGUGACUAAACAGACCUCCUGAGACACCACGGUCUUGCUGUCCACCUGAGUUCUACCCAAGUGUCUCACCAUGUAACACCAGCUACAGACACCCAGCCAACCUCAGGGCAAAGUGUUUUCUCUCUGGCCUUCCUGGACUUGCUGUGUGAGCCUGGUUAGGUUGAUGGCCGGCUCUCAGUGAUACUCCUAGCUGUGGUGUAGAUUGUUGAGGCCUCUGUGUCUAGGGUCUAGCAGCUGGCCUCUGCGUUGUGGCCAUAGUCCUGUGGCCCUCACUGUGCUGUUCAUGCAUGUGUCUCUGGUGAUGCUAUCUCUUUCCUACGGUGACUCCGUACUGCUGGGCUAAAUUGUAAGCUUCUAGUGGCCAAUUACAAUUACAGUGGGUAUUCCUGGCACAGACCUGUCUCGGGAUAAAGCCUUCCUGUCAUUAGAGAAUGUUCUACUCGGAGGCAUGUUUUAUUCUUUCCUUCCUUUUUCCUUGUUUGGAUUUUUGGGACAGAAUCUUCAUCCUAGGCUGUCCUCAAACUCCAUGCAAACUUCCUGCCUCAUCCUCUGAAGUGUUGGGAGUACAGUGAGCCCUCAUGUCUAUCUUAUUCCUCAUACAGAGCAACGCACUUUCCUAGUGGUGCUGCAGGAGUGAGGGACUUCAUCCUCUGAGCCUUCACCCUUUGUGGCUCCCUCCAGCUGGCACUAUUCAUUCUAGCGAGUGAGUGUCUGACUUGCUAAUGAAUACUGAGAGGAACAUGCUGGAUGUUUAGUGAAGGUUUCCUUGCUCUUAAGAAAGGACGUGGCUUCCCUUUUAAGAAUGGAUGCCGUUGUCUGGAGGGGAUGCCUACUGCUUUGCUCCCUUCAGACACCAGAGGACCAGAGGUGGUAGCCAGAGGAAAGUGUUUAUGCUGGGGACAGAAGCAUGAUUCUGGUGAGAAGAUCCUGAAGUGUCAUAGACCCAUUAACCCACCCUAAACAAAGACUUGGUAAACAGUCAAUGCAAUACCAAGUUGAGUUGGGUUUUCUAUUACCAACAGACGUCAGCAUUUUAACUUGGAACCCACGAAAAAGAAGUUAGGACGUGGUUAAAAUAACAGAAACUCCAACUCAUUCUGGGAACCUGUUAGUCAUUGCUGUGUAACAAGCCACUACCCAUGCAGGAGGUGCUGAAGCAGGGGAGGGGGGGGGAAGCCAGUGCUGGCCAGUUCUCCCGGGCUUGGCAGGUUGUUCUGCCCUCCCUGGUGUUGGCUGGGAAUCUCAAAGCUACUGUAUUUUUUUGGAGGCUCUGCCAAGGUAGGAAUGUCACCAUAGCUCCAGUCACAUGUGCAGUGUCCCUGAGAUGGGAACUGGGGUUGGGAGAGCAGGCUAUUCUUUUCAGAUGGCUUCUUACAAGUCAGUGAGCUAGCCUGGGCUUCUUCACACAGCAGUUGGGUUUCUCAAGAGACAAAAUGAACAUUACAGAACCACUAAAGGCUGCGUUUAGAGGCCCCAAAGUGUUCCCUCUGCCACACUGUUCUGGAGAGAGAUCAUAUGCCCUCUGCCUCCCUCCACAAGGAGCACGAAUAAGCCAUAUUUCCACGAGAGCCUCUGGCCAACACUGCUGCUCUGCUCCAACCAACAGGAGGACAUCUUGUUUCCUGUGCCCCGUACAAUCCCUUCCAACUCCCUGACCGUUUGUCCGAAUUCUUCUUCUUCAGAAUAAACUCUCAUUUGAUCAUCUUUCUUUGGUAUGUCCCCCUCCCCUCCACCUUUUCAGUCUCUUUUAGUUGCAGGUAAUGGCUUCUCCCCUUAUAGUCACUCACGUUUAGUGGCACCAGUGAGACCAUGGACUCGUUUGCUCACAGCAGCUUGUCUAACCCUCAUAGAUGGUGAUCAUGUGGGGAAGUAUUUUUUUAGUGAUGUUUGCCCUGGACGGCCGCUCUCCGUCCUGAGCACUUUCCGCCAAGCUUUUGAAAGCUGGCAGUUACAGCUACUGAGCCCUGAGCUGGUGAGGAAGGUUUCACUGGGGAUGGCUACCGUCAUCGAUCUUCCACUCUUUGGCACAGCUAGGGAUCUUGUAUGUACAGGUUCUGGACAAAUUGUGAAAAGAUUAAAUUACACAUAGACUGCCACUUCAGCCACUGAGUUUCAGCAGGAAAAGCAAAGGGAGACCGGGAAGCCUUGCCAAUGAGAAGAAAAGUUUACAGUCUACAGCAGUCCACUGGGGGCCCUGCGGCUGUGUAACAUCAGUGUGGAGCGAGCGCCCAGACUCUGGAUCAUGCUAGCCAGCCAGGCUCUGCAGCACUUCCCUGGGAUGUACCCAGGAGGGAGUAGUGGGUGAUACCAGAGUUUAUUCAUUUAUUCUGAGACAGGGUUUUGCCACGUAGCUCAGGGCCUUGCUUAGGGUUUCUACAGAUAGGACUAAGCACUCUGACCAAAAAUCCAAAAAUAACUUGGGGAGGAAAGGGUUCAUACUUUCACAGCUCUCAGCUCACACUCUAUCAUGGAUGGAAGCUAUAGUCAGGGACUGAAGCAGAGGCCAUGGAGGAACACUGCUUACUGGCCUUUUCUUCAUGCUUUGCUCAGCCUGCUUUUCUGUACCACACAGUAUGGCCUGACCAGAGGUGGCACUGCCCUCCACCCCUCUCCCCCUGCUCCCUAAUGGGCUGGGCCCUCCCAUCAAGGAUCAAUCAGGAAAAUGCCUGACAGACAUGCUCACAGGUCAGUCUCUCAGUUGAGAUUCCCUCUUCCCAAGUACCUUUAGAUUUGUGUCAAAUUGACAAAACAAUAAAUGAAUAAAUAGAUUAAUAAAUAAAUAAAUUAAUUAAAAAGCCUAGCACAUCGAGGCUAGCCCUAAAUUCAUGACCCACCUGCCUCUUCCUCCCAAAUCUUCCAAGUGUUGAGAUUAAAAGUGUACACCAUAGCUGGCCAUGAAGGUUUAUAGUUUUACAAAACCGAGUCAUAAAUCCAGACAAAUUUGAAACACAUCUGUAGGCACAUCAGAAAGAUGGUUACAGCAAGAUGGGGGAGCUUUUCUCUAUGCCUCAGAUGCUAUCUGAUGUUAUACUUAGCUUGGGGGUUGGUGGAAGCUGGUGGUCUGCUAAGUCAAUACACUCUGAAAGGUGUUUAUUAAUCACAGGACAUGGCUACAGAAGGCUAUUCAGGGGACUAAAGGGCCCUCCACAUUCCAACCUCUCCCGAUUGCCAGGUCUCAUCAGCUGAUCCCUGCAGAUACAGUCAAUCCCUGCAGAUAUGGCCCACCCAGGAAUUCUCCUUGUUGGGCCUCUGAAGUUUUGCCUCUGCUGUAUGAUGGGUCUUUGCUUUCUCAAGGAUCUGAGGGGUCUAUGGUGCCUUCUGAGGCUCUGUUUACCCAAGUGGUGGCCUGUCCCCCAAGGGAGACUUUUGGGGGCUUAGUUUGCUUCUCUGCAUCCUAUUUUCCUCUUAUUUUUCAGAGACUAUGUAAAAAACAUUUUUAAAAAAGGUAUGCUAGGAAUUGUUUAAUUUUUCUGCACGCCCCUAUCUUAGCUUCUAAAGGAUCAAUGAUUUUUAAUCCCAGUUUUCUUAAAAAGAAAAACAAAACCAAGUUCUGUGGUGUGUAAAAUUAUCAAUAAAGUAAAUGAAAGCAA
rnacentral:sRNA from 1 species